UACGUAGGUGGCAAGCGUUAUCCGGAAUUAUUGGGCGUAAAGAGCGCGCAGGUGGUUGAUUAAGUCUGAUGUGAAAGCCCACGGCUUAACCGUGGAGGGUCAUUGGAAACUGGUCGACUUGAGUGCAGAAGAGGGAAGUGGAAUUCCUAGUGUAGCGGUGAAAUGCGUAGAUAUUAGGAGGAACACCAGUGGCGAAGGCGAUUCUCUGGACUGUAACUGACGCUGAGGCUCGAAAGCGUGGGGAGCAAACAGGAUUAGAUACCCU
rnacentral:rRNA from 1 species